rnacentral:rRNA from 1 species
GACGAACGCUGGCGGCGUGCUUAACACAUGCAAGUCGAACGGAAAGGCCCUGCUUUUGUGGGGUGCUCGAGUGGCGAACGGGUGAGUAACACGUGAGUAACCUGCCCUUGACUUUGGGAUAACUUCAGGAAACUGGGGCUAAUACCGGAUAGGAGCUCCUGCUGCAUGGUGGGGGUUGGAAAGUUUCGGCGGUUGGGGAUGGACUCGCGGCUUAUCAGCUUGUUGGUGGGGUAGUGGCUUACCAAGGCUGUGACGGGUAGCCGGCCUGAGAGGGUGACCGGGCUCAUUGGGACUGAGAUACGCCGCAGACGCCUACGGGAGGCAGCAGUCGGGAAUAUUACACAAUGAGAGGAAGUCUGAUGCAGAGGCGCCGCGUGCGGGAUGACGGCCUUCGGGUUAUGAACCGCUGUAGCCUAUGACGAAGCGGGAGUGACGGUAAUGGGUAAAGAAGCACCGGCUAACUACGUG